rnacentral:rRNA from 1 species
AUUGAACGCUGGCGGCAGGCUUAACACAUGCAAGUCGAACGAGUGGCGGACGGGUGAGUAAUGCUUGGGAAUCUGCCUGAUGGAGGGGGAUAACUACUGGAAACGGUAGCUAAUACCGCAUACCAUCAGAUGAACCCAUAUGGGAUUAGCUUGUAGGUGAGGUAACGGCUCACCUAGGCGACGAUCCCUAGCUGGUCUGAGAGGAUGAUCAGCCACACUGGGACAGAGACACGUCCCAGACUCCUACGGGAGGCAGCAGUGUGGAAUAUUGCACAAUGCGCGCAAGCCUUAUGCAGCCAUGCCCGGUGUAUGAAGAAGGCCUUCGGGUUGUAAAUUACUUUCAGCGGGUAGGCGUUACCCGCAGAGGAAGCACCGGCUAACUCCGUGCCAGCAGCCGCGGUAAUAC